GCGAGCGUUCGGUUUCCAGCGUAGUAAAUCUCUCGCUGUGGAAUCGCGACGUCCCCCGCCAGCANCCACCAAUUUUCUAAGGUUGACCUCGGAUCAGGUAGGGAUACCCGCUGAACUUAAGCAUAUCAAUAAGCGGAGGAAAAGAAACCAACAGGGAUUGCCUCAGUAACGGCGAGUGAAGCGGCAACAGCUCAAAUUUGAAAUCUGGCCUCACGGUCCGAGUUGUAAUUUGUAGAGGAUGCUUCGGGCGUGGUCCGGUCUAAGUCCCUUGGAAUAGGGCAUCACAGAGGGUGAGAAUCCCGUACGUGACCGGGUGCCUAAGUCCAUGUGAAGCUCCUUCAACGAGUCGAGUUGUUUGGGAAUGCAGCUCUAAAUGGGUGGUAAAUUUCAUCUAAAGCUAAAUAUUGGCCAGAGACCGAUAGCGCACAAGUAGAGUGUUCGAAAGAUGAAAAGCACUUUGGAAAGAGAGUUAAACAGUACGUGAAAUUGUUGAAAGGGAAGCGCUUGCAACCAGACUUGCAUCUAGUUGAUCAUCCGAUGUUCUCACCGGUGCACUCUGCUAGAUUCAGGCCAGCAUCGGUUUUGGUGGUUAGAUAAAGGCCCCAGGAAUGUAGCUUCCUCCGGGGAGUAUUAUAGCCUGGGGUGCAAUGUAGCCUACCGGGACCGAGGACCGCGCUUCGGCUAGGAUGCUGGCGUAAUGGUUGUAAGCGACC
rnacentral:rRNA from 1 species